GGGGGCAUUCACCUAAUUGCCUCAUUUUCCAUAGAGCAUCUGAAACUUUCUCUAUAGUAAGAAAAGGGGAAAGUUUCUGCCAGUCCCAACUCAACCUUCCUUCCAUGCAGAUCUGGAAGUCCUCCCGCAGAAGCUGUUUCCAGCUGGCUUUGCUUUGGUUUCAAUCUCUGCAGAGGCAUGCCGGCUCCGUACCAUUCACACCUGGGACAUUCAGCCCUUCUAUCAGCAGACAGGUUGGCAGGAAAGAACAUGUGGAGUGGAGAGAAAGUUCCAGGUGUUACUGUUCCUUCGAAUGACAUCUUUGAUCUACAGCCAACAGGAUUCUUGAAUUUUAAAUCGAAGCUACUAGUGACUCAGACUUUAAUUGGACACACCUCUUGGCCGAGAAGAUUAAUAAUUAGUCCAUUUAACAUGAGGAAACUCUGUACCCUCAAGCCUUCAAAAUAAAUGUUACAGCAGAGAUGGAGAGGAAGUAAUUUAUUAUAAUAACUCUCCUAAAGUUGCCCAAAUGCAAGGAUAGCAAUUUACCAUGCUGUUCUCACUGUCAUCUCCUGCUGGCUCUCUAUCCUGAACCUCCCUGUGAUUCAAACUAUAAACGUUCCAGGGAAGUGAGGGUGUCAUAAGGGGAGGACUGCUCUGUGCAAGAUGGGACAGUGACUCAACUAGAGGCAAAAUCAGGCUUGGGUUUCUGACAAACGAGCAUUGGAAUUUGGAGCGCUAGGUGCCUGUGCUGAAUUUAGCACUAAUUAACAAGAGGAUAUUACUUGCCUAUGCUUCAGCUUUCUGGUGUAAAAUGAAGGAGUUAGAAGAGAAAAUCUGGGACAUCCCUUCCUGUUAGGAGAAAAAAAGAAGCACAUUUAUUUUAGGUCCAGGGGGUGGGAUUAGGAUGGGAAGGAAAGAGUCAAUUAAAUAUCCACAGGGGGAGGCAGGAAAUGGAAGGAACACAACCUAGCCUGGGCUCAGCUCUUUAAUGGUUGUUUCUGAGCAGGAAAACAGGGCAUGACCCUGCGAGGGGCUUUAGAGAUGAGAGUAACAUCCCUUUCCCUAAAGCAAGUAAAUGGGCUUUAUUUGUAUUGUUAUCAUUCAUAGCUUACCCACAUUUUACGCACAUGUUUUAUAUAGUCACUACUUAGUACUCAUUAAAGCCAAAUUAAAA
rnacentral:lncRNA from 1 species